rnacentral:pre_miRNA from 1 species
UGGGCAUAUUAUUGUAUUCGACUGUAUUCACGGUGUGAAACAGGGGAUUACACUAUUUUUAAACGGAAAAUGAAUCAAUUUACAUAAUAGACUCCU